GUUUUGGAUGAUCUCCGAACCGUCCCGCCUAACAGGUUUUCCUCAGGGUGGUCGGUCGAUGGGUUCGGCUGGAAACGGCCGGGCCUCCCGUUUGGAAAGGAGACCCGCCUGCAAUCAC
rnacentral:ncRNA from 2 species